UAGGGAAUCUUCGGCAAUGGGGGCAACCCUGACCGAGCAACGCCGCGUGAGUGAAGAAGGUUUUCGGAUCGUAAAGCUCUGUUGUAAGAGAAGAACGUGUGUGAGAGUGGAAAGUUCACACAGUGACGGUAACUUACCAGAAAGGGACGGCUAACUACGUGCCAGCAGCCGCGGUAAUACGUAGGUCCCGAGCGUUGUCCGGAUUUAUUGGGCGUAAAGCGAGCGCAGGCGGUUUAAUAAGUCUGAAGUUAAAGGCAGUGGCUUAACCAUUGUUCGCUUUGGAAACUGUUAAACUUGAGUGCAGAAGGGGAGAGUGGAAUUCCAUGUGUAGCGGUGAAAUGCGUAGAUAUAUGGAGGAACACCGGUGGCGAAAGCGGCUCUCUGGUCUGUAACUGACGCUGAGGCGCGAAAGCGUGGGGAGCAAACAGGAUUAGAUACCCUGGUAGUCCACGCCGUAAACGAUGAGUGCUAAGUGUUGGUCUCAUAAGAGAUCAGUGCUGCAGCUAACGCAUUAAGCACUCCGCCUGGGGAGUACGACCGCAAGGUUG
rnacentral:rRNA from 1 species